CGCGGGAGGCCCGGGUUCGAUUCCCGG
rnacentral:piRNA from 6 species